ensembl:lncRNA
CUGUGGGAGACCAUGAACCCUCACGAAUAUCAGUGAAAACCAUGCCUGAUCUAUGCACGAGAAAGGCAUUCCUGAAUCCACAAGUUGCUUUUAUUUAUUUCUCUUUCAAAGUGCAAUAAAAUGUUGCUCGAGAGGGAGAGGUCUCGUAGGGCUGGGAGUAAGCCCCGCUGUACGCACUGAGGGCAGCAGUGGCUAUUUUCAUAGCGCUGUGAUGCUGAAGAGAGGUGUCAGCAUUGGGCACCGUGGAACCACCUCACCGCUGCCUGAAGUCGCAUCUGAAGUUUUCUUUGCACUUUAUUGCACAUGAGUUCUGCUCUUGGCUGCCGGUUCCUCCCUUCAGACUCCCAAAGUUUUCCUUCCAUGGGCCUUUCGGAUGAGAUCUUAGAAGCCUA